AACGAACGUUAGCGGCGCGCUUAACACAUGCAAGUCGAACGAGAAAGGGAGCAAUCCCCGGUAAAGUGGCGCACGGGUGAGUAACACGUAGGCAACCUACCCCUUGGCGGGGGAUAACCUUCCGAAAGGAGGGCUAAUACCGCAUAUGACCACGUCCGCGUCAGCGGAUGAGGUAAAAGCUGGCCAAUUCAUGAAAGCUGGCACCGAGGGAUGGGCCUGCGCCCCAUCAGCUAGUUGGUAGGGUAAUGGCCUACCAAGGCCGAGACGGGUAGCUGGUCUGAGAGGAUGAUCAGCCACACUGGAACUGAGACACGGUCCAGACUCCUACGGGAGGCUG
rnacentral:rRNA from 1 species